rnacentral:rRNA from 1 species
UACGGAGGAUGCAAGCGUUAUCCGGAAUGAUUGGGCGUAAAGCGUCCGCAGGUGGCGAUGUAAGUCUGCUGUUAAAGAGUGAGCUCAACCUCAUAAGAGCAGUGGAAACUACAUAGCUAGAGUGCGGUAGGGGGCAGAGGGGAAUUCCUGGUGUAGCGGUGAAAAUGCGUAGAUAUCGAGAGGAACACCUGCGGCGAAGGCGGGGUUGCUGGGGACGUAACUGACGCUGAGACGCGAAAAGCGUGGGGGGAGCAAAACAGG